GCAAGAAUUUCCUCCAAAGACCUUUGCUUCCUCCUGACAUUCUAGAGCUGCCCAGAGAUCCAUGUUACAUUGUCCUCUUGAUCCAGUGGGCCCUGAUAAUGAGUGAUGCAGGAAGAACUGGCUGGAGGGUUACACCUCCUUGGGAUGAUUAUUGGUUUCUUUGAAGUGUCGUGUGAAGCAUAGAAACAAAGGAAUAGAAGGUGUAAGGGACAAGGCACUUUUUGCUGGAGGAAAGAAAGCGCACUGAACUUUCAGUCAUCUGCACCGAUAUUCAGCGAGACUGGGAUCGGUUGCAGUGAUGAGGCGUGGACCCGUGGAACUCUGGAGACCCGUGAAGAAUUGGGAUUUUGGGAGAGCCAUGGAUUUUGGGGGACCCAACUUGUCCCUCUGUCUAGCCACGUGGCUAGUUGGUGGCUAGGUUGCCAUUUGUUUCCAUGGAUGCACAAUAGGUCUUCCUCUGAAGUGGGAGAAAGAGGAGUUGAAACAAGAUGCUAGAUGUCUUUACACUGUUCUGGGAUUUCCAUUGGAAACGUUGGGCAAAAUCUUGGAAGCCAUUGGGAGUUUUGCCAUUAUUUCAUCCUUUGCAGGGGCCAGGAUUUCACUCUUUGUGAGCUUCUUAGAGGAACAUGCUAUCUGCAGCCAGGGAGCCCAAACUUCAUCACCCCACAGAUCCCCUAAUACAUAUUGUUUAUCCAUAGGCAGUGCCACAACCCUGGGGACUCCAUCUUUCUCCUGAGCUCCCCGUCCACGUCCAUGUUCCCCUCCACAGUGUGUAGUGGAGGAAAACAAUAGGUUCCUUGGCUGCAUGCUUUAAAAAACUCACACUUGGUUGACUGAAGAUAAGAUCCUUCCCUAGUGGAUGUAAUGUUAGAUUUAGUGUAGUCGUUGGAUUGCCCUUUACUGGACUACAAAAAGGGCACUGAAGGUUUGGAAAAGGGACAGAGAAGAGUAGACCCGAGAUGAGAAAGGGCUGAAGGUUUAUAAUUAUAUGGAAAUUUAAACAAAGGGACAAGGGGCUAUAGCUACAAGGGUUAUAUGCAAGGCUGAAGAAUUACAACAAUAUAGGAGGUGUGGCAUGAAAUGGGCUUUCAAAGGCAGCAAUAGACCCUGCUACUCUGAGUAUAUUUUGAAAAAGAGUUAGCGCACAAGAAAACAACAACCUAAGGCAUGGCUAUUAGAAAGGUGGAUGAGCCUAGAUGGACCAUAUUGCCAUCCAGUGCUGGAAUUUCACUGUUAGAACUGUUGGGAUCUUCCCUUUCUGAGGUGAAAUUCUGUCCCUAUUGAAGUCAGUGGGAGCUUUACCCUUAUGGUGAGCAUGUUUGAAUGGGUUUUUUGAUCCCUAUGACCAUCCGAGUGUGCAGCUCCCACUGACAUCAAUGGGAGUUCAGCACAUGGCAGAGGAUAGAGCCCUGUGUGAAUCCCUUGAAAAAUAAUUCAUCGUCUCUGCCACCAUAGUGUAAAUGCACCAGAGUUUUUAUAAAGUGGGGGGGGGAACGCAGAAGAACCCAACCUCAUAUCCUUUACUUUGUAGCCCCUGUGUUGAGGUAAUGAGAAUACUCUUAGUAUGGAACUCCAGGACUGUAUGGGCCUGGGGCAAAAACUCAUUCCCUGGAACAUGAGUGUGACUGAAAGGCAAGGGGCUUUGUCAACUUAUGAUUCACAAGCUAUAGACAAACAUGUUUCUGUAUCUACAUUACUGCUAACACUCUAGAGGAUUCUGAGAAAAAUGUUACUAAAUUAAGCAUUUCAAUUGUAUACAGUGGAUGUAACGCUGUGGGCUUCUU